GCCACCACGCCCGGCUAAUUUUUUUGUAUUUUUAGUAGAGACGGGGUUUCACCGUGUUAGCCAGGAUGGUCUCGAUCUCCUGACCUCCUGAUCCGCCCGCCUCGGCCUCCCAAAGUGCUGGGAUUACAGGCGUGAGCCACCGCGCCCGGCCGGUACUCCGAAGCCCUCAGAUCGGCGACCUGGGCGCUGUAGGCACCGAGAAAAUACAGGCACCGAGCCAGAAGCAGUGCCGCAACCAAGAGACCUCGGCUUGGCGAAAUGGCGGCGUCUGGAGCCUGCGAGUGACGCCAGCUGGUGGGGCUGUCAAGGAGAACAUUCGUUACGGCGCAACCAACGGUACUGUCACCAAGAAACCGUCGUCUCUGAGAAAAAAAGAGACGUUCGGCCGCCGAGAAACUCCGUACAAGUGCUGUGACAGAAAAACCGCCGGCUCCGCGCAGCGGCAAAAGAGCCAACGGGAACGCCGGGUGCUGCGACCAUGACCCCGGCACUGGAGGACGUGGGAUGGAGAAUGGGACACACGGAGCGAGAAGGGAAACGUUUCGUGCAGACCAACUAGCGCCGCCGCCACCGGAAAACUGACUCGCCAGUGCUGCCAAUGAAGUGCGUGUGAGAAACCGAUGACUGGUGGGAGGAGCAGCGCUGGGCGCUGGACCCGCGAGUGUGAGAAUCUGGCGGCGCUAGGACCCUUCAGGCGCGGGCACGAGGCGAAACCCAGCGCUGUUGCCAAAGACAAAUGCGCGUUCUUUUGGGCGCCAUCAGCGGUGCAGCCAGUGAUCACUCCCAGGCUCUGAGAAACUAGAGAUGUCAGCCACAAACCCUCCGUUCAGGGAAAGUUUGCGGCGCCGUGACGGAUCGACUGGCACUGGGUGCAACAUUGUCUUGUGGCCUAGAGACUAGAAUAUAAAAACAAAAACCAAAUACAAAACUGCUGCUGGCAUUACUCCUACUCUCCCCCCUCAAGUCAGUGGCUUCAGGCUUAAGAAAACCUGUAUUUUUCUUGGCUGUGCCAUAAUCCGUAAUUACCGAGGCCCCCAGCGACCCACCCAGUGUGAUUCGCAGAGGGAAAGGAGCUGGAAUAAGGACCGUGAAUGGGGCGGAUGUGGCUCGUCCUGGGAGAGAGCUAAAGCUUAUGCUGGUCGCAAACAGCAUUACAUUGCAGGAAACUGCUCUUCCAAUGGCCGUGGCUGGGUCCUUCCACACCAUCCCUCUGCCCUAGACCUUUGUCCCCGUUCAGAGCCAUCAGAGAUUCUAGGAGAGCUGUCGACAACCGCAUCUCUUCGGAACUUGGAAACUCUAGGUUCAAGAUCUCCGUGGAGAAUGAAAGGCACAGUCGCCUGACCCGGGCAUCAGGCUUGCCCCGCACAUCAAGUCCCUCCCCUACUGGAUGGAACUCUGUGGCAAUCGCUCCUUAUUCUGAUGGUUCACUCUGUCAGAUAUCCUCGAUAUUUGGGGAUAGUAGUUCAAAAACAGCCGGGGAGGAAAAUGGGCUGAAAGAUUCCAGCGUUGGAUGUAGAAUUGACAGCGAGACAUACACCUCCUCUCUAAGCCCAGAGAAAAGCUCAAGUUGUGGUUCUCUGUCUCUAGCAGCAUGAUCUUCAAAAUGCAUCAUUGAUUUCUAUCUUCUGGGAAAUGCAAUGCAGGUGAACUUGAGGAAAUCAGUGGUGCUUCAGGAUAUUGUGAAUUUGGUCUUCUGAAAGCAGAAUUCUGAUUUAACAGUAUAAUGGAAUUCGUGAACGUCAUGAUGCUAAUUUGAACCAACAAGCACCCUUGUGAGAGGAAUCUGCUUUUCCUCAAGUCUGAAGAACACCAGGAGAAUCUUUCUGUAUGGAGUUACCAGGAAUCCUCUGCUAAGGAAAGUGAAAGGGAAGAUGCAAUUUCUCCUGGGAAGGGGGGAUGCUGAUGUAGAGGGUGACAAGUAAUAUGCCAUGAAGGAUUCAGUCACCUGGUUAGAUUUAGAGUUAGAGUUAUGGUUAAGGAAGAAGGAAGGAAAAAAGGCAGAAGAGGAAGAAAGGAAGCAAGAAAAGAUAAAAUUUAUUCUAAGAUAAAAUUUGUGAAUUUUGCUAAACUAUAUAUAUUUAUUUAUUUAUUUAUUUUAUUUAUUUAUUUAUUUUUGCUGUCAUUAGCCAAGAUAAGGAAUCUUCAAGUUGAGUAAGACUGGAUUUAGAAUUGUCUGGGGGCUUUCAAAAGAGCCAUUCAGUAAAUAAGAAAGAAUACAGGCCUGCAGCACCAGAGUCUGAGCUGGGGGCAUAGGUUUGUGUGAAUUUGGGCAUGGUGGCUCAGGUCUGUAAUCCCAGCACUUUGGGAGGCUGAAGUUGAGGACUGCUUGAGCUCAGGAGUCUGAGACCACCCUGGGCAACAUGGGGAGACCCCAUCUCUACAAAAAAA
ensembl:lncRNA ANXA2R-OT1 ANXA2R overlapping transcript 1